rnacentral:rRNA from 1 species
ACAAGCGGAGGAGCAUGUGGUUAAUUCGAUGAUACGCGAGGAACUUACCUGGGCUCGAACGUAAGAUGACUGUAGGUGAAAGCUUACAUCUCUUCGGAGCAUUUUACGAGGUGCUGCAUGGUUGUCGUCAGCUCGUGCCGUGAGGUGUCGGGUUAAGUCCCAUAACGAGCGCAACCCCUACCUUUAGUUGCCAUCAGGUAAUGCUGGGGACUCUAAAGGAACUGCCUACGCAAGUAGUGGGGAAGGCGGGGAUGACGUCAAAUCAGCACGGCCCUUACGUCCAGGGCUACACACGUGCUACAAUGGCCGAUACAGAGGGCAGCUACCUGGUGACAGGAUGCAAAUCUCCAAAGUCGGUCUCAGUUCGGAUCGGAGUCUGCAACCCGACUCCGUGAAGUUGGAUUCGCUAGUAAUCGCGCAUCAGCCAUGGCGCGGUGAAUACGUUCCCGGGCCUU